GAGAAAGCUUGCUUUCUUGCUGACGAGCGGCGGACGGGUGAGUAAUGUAUGGGGAUCCGCCCGAUAGAGGGGGAUAACUACUGGAAACGGUGGCUAAUACCGCAUAAUGUCUACGGACCAAAGCAGGGGCUCUUCGGACCUUGCACUAUCGGAUGAACCCAUAUGGGAUUAGCUAGUAGGUGGGGUAAAGGCUCACCUAGGCGACGAUCUCUAGCUGGUCUGAGAGGAUGAUCAGCCACACUGGGACUGAGACACGGCCCAGACUCCUACGGGAGGCAGCAGUGGGGAAUAUUGCACAAUGGGCGCAAGCCUGAUGCAGCCAUGCCGCGUGUAUGAAGAAGGCCUUAGGGUUGUAAAGUACUUUCAGCGGGGAGGAAGGUGAUAAGGUUAAUACCCUUAUCAAUUGACGUACCCGCAGAAGAGCUCCGCA
rnacentral:rRNA from 1 species